AUGUCUGCUCCAGGAAAGCAUGAGGCGGUCCCUUCCCCUCGCUGGGCCUCGGUUUCCCCACCAGCACAAGGCAGGGGUUGCCUGAGGCCAUCUCCAAGGUCUUCGGCUCCAUGCCACCUGGCUGGUCACCUGCGACUCUCUGUCCCCAGGGCCCGGCAGGGAGCAGUGACUCAGCAGCAAGAAGCCGAGCAGGAGCCCCUCCCCCGCCCAACACACACAAAGGGCAUCUUGUUACCGGGGCCUGCCAGCAAAGACGACAGGGCUGGGGAGAAAGAGACAGGGACCCUCAUCUGGGAGCAUACGAGUGAGAAGGUCAGUCUAGCGUGCUGCCUGCCUGUGUGCAAGGGUGCACAUGUGAUGCGUGCAAGUGGACAGGCAGGCAUGUCUCCACCAUGGGUAUGUCCCUCCUCCUAGGCAAAGAGGGCCCAGGACAAACAGUCUCCAAGACGGCUGUCCUUGAGAGUUCAAGAGUCCUCUGUGAAUUCAGGUGAGCCGUGUCCCUGCAGCACAGAACAGCGGCUCCAGAUACUUCUCCCCUAAGAACCGGGCAUUGCUGGCUGUCAGCUGUCUGUCCGUCCCAGGCCACAACACUGCCACCCUGCUCUACUGCCAAGGGCACAUGGCUUGUAGCCGCCUGAGUGGCGCCCCCAGAGUCGCACCCACACCACGGCACCACGAACCCUUGCAUUCUGACCUCCCGUCUCCCGAGUGCCCGUUCAUCUCCAACUUCCCCAGGAAAGAGACCCUGCACCUGCCAGGAAAAGAUACAUGAUAAGCCAUCACAAACUGUAAAGUGCUGUGCGCGCUGGUUAUUCCAUUGGAUCCUCAAAAUACCACCCAUCUUACCACCCUUCUUGUUCUCAUUUGACAGAUGAAGAAACCGAGGCCCAGCAGGCUGAAGUAAGAGAUCCAGGACCUGGGUGAUUUGACAAAGGGACGGGAGCACCAGGCUCAUGGUUAGAAGGGGAUUCAAGAGGCAGACACGCGUUGGAGAGGUGUGGACAACAUCCCCCAGAAACCCCAGCUGAGCACAUGAGCACAGUGAGCCCAGAUGCCCCCGCUCAGCUGUGGGCUUAGGGGCAGCCAAGACCCCAGAGUCAGGCUGAGGAGACCAACCGGCUGGAGCGUGGACACUCUGUGCCCACCUUGGAUCCCGGGAGGCCCCGGCACACGGGGUUUCUUUCAGGGCUUUCGGUGGCCGACCCUGUGGGUGGGCCUCAGGGGCUGAAGGACGUAAAGCCCCGUGUGGGCAGGCCCUUCCCUGGGCGGGCGGGCUGGCUGCAGAACUUGCUGCCAAUACAACUUCCCACAGGCAGCCUGAAGUGAGAAGUGGUUAUGUGGUCCCCGGGGGGUCACAUCUGAUGAAAAGAGCUGCAGGGUUUUUCUGGGGGUUGGGGGGGUGGUUUCCUACUAC
rnacentral:lncRNA from 12 species